CUGCAGCCCGAGUGGUGAUCGAUUUUAUUGAGCCUAAAGCGUCCGUAGCCGGACUAGUAAACCCUUGGGUAAAUUGGGCAGCUUAACUGUCCAAAUUCCGAGGGGACUGCUAGUCUUGGGACCGGGAGAGGUCAGAGGUACUCAAGGGGUAGGGGCUAAAUCCUGUAAUCCUUUGGGGACCACCAGUGGCGAAGGCGUCUGACUAGAACGGAUCCGACGGUAAGGGACGAAACCCUGGAGCGCGAACCGGAUUAGAUACCCGAGUAGUCC
rnacentral:rRNA from 1 species